UGCCCGCCUCGCUGUGGACCAUCACCCAUGAGUACUCACUUUCCUUCUUGGUGCUGAAGCUGGUCCACCCAGAAGCCGUGCUGCCUGCCUCGUUGUGGACUACCACUUGCACCCUUGUGUAGAUAUGUGCACAUGACUGCAGCUUCCUGAGGAGGCCAGAAGAGGGCACCACCUGCCCUGGAGCUGGAGUCAGAGCCAUGAGCUUCCCGUGUGGAUGCUGGGAGCCAAACUCAGGCCCAGAAACAAUGGAACUCAGUGGCCAUGGCCUGCGACCUCUGAAACAGCCAAAGGAAAUAUCCCCUCCUUAAGUUACCUCAAGCAUUUGUUGCAGUGGCAGGAAGCUCGUUAACAUGGACAAGGGAAGAUGGAGAAAAUAUGGACAGGAUAUGUCGAAUAGUGUAUUAGUGUGAUUUUUGCUUUUCAUCCUAGGAGACGAAUUUAGGACCUCGUGUAUGCUAGGUAGGCAUUCCACUACAGAACUGCAUUCUCCAGCUCCCUGGCCUUUGAGUUUUAACAGAUCAAUAUAAAAACCAGAAAGCAAGUACCUUCUGAACAGACAUGGAGUUACCUACUAUAAAUUCUAUGACCAAGAGAGGGGAAAGAGGCUGUACACCCAGGGCAUCUCCUAAACAUACUUGCCCAAUAAACAAAUUAAGGAUGGUUAAAAAGGCUCCUUACUUACAUUUGAUCACACUUUACAUGUGUGCAUGUAGUUAACACAACACCAUGCAUUACAGUUUAGAACUUCCCAGUAGGGAACUGUUAAAAAGGUAAGCAAGUCAGGAUGAAUCACGUUAGUUUUUUUUUGUUGUUGUUGUUUUGUUUUGAUUUUUAUGUUUCUGUUGUAACAAUGGAAAGUGUUACAGUACAAUAUGAAACUACAAAUACUUUUAAUAAUUAUAAAAUAACUGAAAUGUUUAACCAUGGAUUCUGUACUUGGCAGCGAUCAGUACAUUAAGAAUGUCAGCUCGAUUUAUUACUGAGAUAUAUACACAUUGCUGUUUUCAGUGCAAUAUGUAUUUAAUCUAACUACUGAUGGGUAUCCUCUUUUUGUUUGUUGUCCAUUAAAAAUAUAAAGCUGUUCUUUAAUUUACUCAUUUCCCUCAAAGACUAAUUACUGUAUCUUUCCUUAAAUAAUUUUAAUUACAUGAAGUGUGAACACCUGCCACUAAGCUGCCACACCUGGACAGCUGUAGCAACAGUAAGUACUCUUUGGAAACAGAGAUUGUCUUUGAGCGGAGUGUGUCAGGAGGGGCUCCUGGACUGGGGUCUUCCGAAUCAUUUUGGGUCCUUGCACCAGCAUUCCUGUGAGAUGACCCCAGAACAUGGGUUCUCAGCAUGCUUCUAGCUGAUUCUUGCAUCCAAUAUUCUUUGCAAAAUACUAUAGAACCAGGAACAGAAAUCUAGGCACAUCAUGUUUCAACUUCUCUUCAUAGAGUGUCUGUUGUGGAAUAACCUAUUUGUACACUGUGAAGAAGUGUCACUCUGAUUGGUACUAAAAAGCUGAGCAGCCAAUAGCUAGGCAGGAUUUCCAGGCACAGAGGACACUGGGAAAAGAAGGGCAGAGCCGCAAAGAGACACAGAGGAAGCAGGAAAGCAGGGUGGACAGUAUAUAGAUGAGAUAAACAAGCCUUGGGGUGGCACAGAGAUGAAUAGAAAUGGGUUCACUUAAGUUAUAAGAGCUAGCUAAAAACAAGCCUAAGCUAGCAGCUGAGCUUUCAUAAUGAAUAAGAAGUCUCAGUGUCAUUAUUGGGAGGCAAUGGUCCCGACAUAAAAGUCUGACUACAAAUGUCUGUUUAGAGUGUGUUUUGUCAUCAGCACUACCUACAAUCUUUGAAACAAACACAAAUAUGUGUGCGUGUGUGUACAAGUCCAAGGUAACAUCAGGUGUCUUUGCCGAUUACUCUCCACCUUAUUUCUUGAGACAGGGUCCCUCACUUGGACCUUGACCGGCCAGUGAGCCCCAGGAAUCCUAGUGGUUUCAACAGCACUAGGAUCAUUAGUAUGUGCUACUACUUUUGCUUAUUUUUUACUAGAAUCUAGGUUCGAACUCAUGACCUCAUGCUUGCAUGGGAUGCACUUAACUUUGGUGACAUUCUCUCACACAUUUCAUUGUGUAGUGUCUGAUUAAAAAUGUUCCUUGUGGGAUGUUUGAUUAAGAAGCAUUUCGAUGAUUCUGAGGACAAGUUCAUUUCAUGUAGCAGUAAGAAAGAGACCUCAUUGUUUAUAAAAACCAGAGAAUGAAAAUACAGUGUUAACAAUUCACAUCAGAAAUUUAAAAAAAAUACAACAUAGAGCAGGCAUGCCAGUCAUUAAUCAGUGGAGUAAAUAGGCUGCAUGUUAACAGGCAAACAAUUAAAUUAUUUGUUUCCCAGGGGCAUGGAAUGUGAUUGUUAUCACACUCCCACGAGGGAGACAAAUAGAUAUUAAAAGGGUCUUUCCAAUACCUGUAUUGGCUUGGGCCAACAGCUAAUUCAAUAGAUUCGAUCACAGUCCGCACUUCCUACAUGGCUCCUGAUUUAUGGCUCUGGCACUCCUUAGUCAUCAGUCAGUGCAGUUUGCUCCCCGGCAUUCAUAAAUUAUGCCUCAUAAAUAAAAAGAUACAAUCAAGGAAAUCCUAUCGGUCCCUCUACAGUCUUGGAGUGUGUUCCCUUGGCACUCACGCUAAUGCCUUUUUAAGGGGUAGCUUGCCAUGGGUUUUGAAUAUGUUUGAAUAGUAACAUACCAGAAUGGGCUUUGCCAGGACUAGGUAGAGAGUUUCGUGGCUCAAGAGAGAAAGCCAUGAGUCUGUGAUUGCGUGGCUAUGGGACUGUUUUGUUUUGUGAAGAGCCUGCAGGCUCCAGCCGGGCAGGACUACUUGUUGGAGGGCUUUGUGAAGCUGCCUGCUUCGUUAUCUGCUUGUCUGACUCUUUCACCAUCAAAUGGGCUUUGCCCAGCGCCUCUGUUUGCCGGAUACCUUGCUGGUCUAGGGGAAUCUCUCCCGUACAGAGUCCCUGCAUUCCUGUCUCCUUUCACCCAAAACACUCUGGAUCAGGCAAGAAGAAACAUGAUUUUAAUUGAAUUCUGGUACCCAGGGGAAGAACGGGAUAGGAGUACAUUGUCUCGUUUUUCUACUGGCACUUUUGGAAUUCAGAGAUACGAAGUUACUAAAGAACUUAGGAGACAUUUCCCGUGUUAGAAACGGCCGUCUACUCUCUCUACCCGCUGAGGCCACUGCUGCACUGGCUGGGCUGCUCCGUAGAUGCAACUUGGACUCUGUUCCAAACUAGGAGGUGGGAGAACCGACUUAAAUAGAGUGGGAGACACUGAAUUAACCUUAAUUCACGCUUUGUAAGAAUGAAGGUUUGGAGUUUACUGCUUGCUAAGUUUUGUGCUGUCUGUUCCACUUUGGAGGAAACAGGAACUUGAUAUCAUUUAGUUUUCAGAGGGAAUGCACAGGAGGAGGAAACCGGCUCCCUUCAUCCUUUAUCUUGCUUGUUACAUGUGCUAUUAGGUGUGUGUGUCUGACCCAUGGACUGCCCUGGGCCCCAAGAGUCAAACUGACCCAACACAAAAUUGUAAACAUACUGAAAGCAUUGUGAGAUUUUUGUUGUUGUUAUUGUUGUUGUAGCUAGAUUACGUGGCUCUCCAGCACGAACUUUGUAGAUGAGAGAAUCAGGUUGUGAUGUCAAGAGGUUCGUCAUCCUCCUUGUAGUUAAUCAUUUCAUCAAGGUAUUUAAUCAUUCCAACAAUGCCAUGCAGUGGGCAUUAAUACUGUCAUUCCACAAGGGAACUGAAGUGUAUAGAAGGAUAUGCAAUUUGCUAAGUGUAGGGCAUGCUCUCCAGUAGAAGUGUGUGAUACGAGCCCAAACCCAGGACUCCUUCCUACUUGAUGCUAUGAUAGUUAAUUUCACCUGUCAGUUUUACAGGAUCCAGAAUGACCAGGGAAAGCAGCCUGAGUGAGGGGCUGUGCAGAUUAGGCUGGCCUCUGAGCAUGCCUGUGAGAGAUUACCUUUGUAGUGUUGAGGUGGCAUUGGCUCACCACUGGGCUUUGGACUGAAUCAAAAGAGGGGAAAGGCCGCAGGCCUCCAUCUCUACUUUUUGAGUGCAGAUUUCAUCACGUUGAACACAAUGACAAAUACAGCCUGUCUGGUGCAGCCCUGAAAGUAUGCACUGUCUCCACAGAGAGUGGCUAGGGUGAGCCAAGACUGUACACUUCACUGGGUGUUAUAGUUUGAACCCUGUUGCUUUGAUAAAACACCCUGACCAAUGCAGACUGUGGAGAAAAGAACUCAUUUGGCUUACCUUUGAGGUCAUAGUCUGUCAUCAAGGGUCAUUAGGCAAAGGACGCAAGCUGGAGCUUGAAGCGGAAAGCCUAGAGGAAUGCUGACUGCUGGACCACUCUGACUCUCUCACGGGACCAUGCUUAGCUAAUCACAUACCUGCUAAGGGAUGGUGCCGCCCAUAGAGGGCUGGACCCUCCUACGUCCGUUAUCAAUCAGGACAAUCCCUAAUGGACGUGCUGACAGGUUAACCUGAUAAUAGCAGUAUUUGAGUAACCAAGUCUCCUUUUUCAGGUGAUUAUAGGUUGUAUCAAGUGGUCAGUUAAUGCUAACUAGGACACUGGGUAAGAUAAUUAUCCAUGAAUUUAACAGAUACUGAUUAAGCCACGUCUGUGUGUCAGACACUGGUUUCCAAUCUGGCAUACCACAGUAAUCAAGGAUGGAGCAAACAUCCAAGUGAGGAGAGGUAAUCCACAAGAACAGACACAGACAAGUAAUAAUUCAAGCUAGGGAGGAAAUGAUG